CCUGGAGUAAGCAAUGUUGAAAUGUAACAUAAAAGGUUAAACAUUACAGAGAGUCAGAUCAUCCAUCAUUUGCUUGUUUGUCACAAUACUAGGAGUAGCGGGGAGGAGAACAGGUGAAGAUUGGGAUGAAGUAUACUCUGGCACUGUCUGAAGAAUGUCGCUAGCAAAACAUGUUAAACUUGGUGACAAUAAAUCUGUAGUUAUGUAUUUAUAAGGGCGUUUCUCACAUAAAUCAUGAUAGCGUUUAGCGGUUUUGUCUAAUAAAUGCCGCCGUAGAAGAGUAGCAAAACGCUGAUAUGACUUGUGUACAGUAGUUACCUUAUAAGAAAAGAAAUGGUCUAAUUGCUUGUUAAGACACUGACUAUACUUUUCGUAGUGUUUCCUUCGAUGUUCAUAAUCAUUUCUGAAAGAAAGGAGCUCUUUGUUCAGCACAAAAUGGGAAUCGGUACGGAUAAGAUCCUCGGUCUUUUCAAGAUUUUUGAUGUAGAAAUCUCGAAAGGCUUCUUCAAGACGAGAAAAUCGAGAUUCCAAAACUGAUUUUCUAGCCUUAAUUUGUGAAAGAUUAGCGUCUUCGUCAAUGAGGGAAGAAAUGACAGGCUUUGACUUGUCAUGUUCGAGCGUAGAUAUAUUCUUGGGUUUCCGGCCUCUUUUGCGUAAUGUGGGCUUUACAAUUUCGGGCUUACGGACUUUACGACGUUUGCGACGAUAUGAAGGUAUGGCAGCAGAAUCGUUGGAUUGUGAAGAUGCUAUCGACUCAGGACUGCGAGAGGCGGACGGUACAGAGGAAUUGGUAUCCGCAACUAGUGUUGCGAAAAGACCAGUAGAAGAUGGUUUGUGAAAAUACGAAUCAUCUGUUUGAGAUGAGAAUGUAUGCGACUCGGGAGGCGAAUGAAGCGGUGGAGUAUUUGGGUACUCAAUAUGUUCGCCUUUUUCGAGCAUGAUCAACAAAUGGAACCACAAAAAGGCAGAAUGAAAGAAGAAACCCCUUUUUUACAAUUCAGUACGUAAAUACGGUCCGUAAAUAGGGUGCAAAAAAAUUUCUCAGAGGAGUUUACUAAAUCCUUCGUCGCAUUAAUAAAGUAUCGUCCUUUCACAAUACUGAAUGGCGAUACCAGCGGUAUUUUACGAUCCAAAAGAAAAUAGCUGUUUAUCUCAACAAAAAAGAAAAAAUUUCAAAAAAAUUGUAAGAAACUUUGAAUAAGAACAAGUAAUAAGUAGAACAAGUAUUAAUGAUAAACAGAAAAACAAGGUGGUGUUUAUUUAUAUUGUGAGGUAUAAUAACGUCAAUCACUGUACCACUUUCAACGUCUUAAUCGUAAUAUCGGAAAAGUGGUAGGGUAAUGUAUUGAAAAAAACAAUUAAUGUGUGCAAUACCAAAAUAUGCAAAAAAGAAGAGAAUACGCAAUAAAAUAGGUUCUUCUUUGUAUUUAUUCAACGUAUAACAAAAUUAAAUAUAAUUGAAGAAACGUUGAAAACUGGCUCACAGCGGAGAAGGAAUUUGUCAGUUUAUUGAC